AGAAGCGGGGGUAACUGAGGCCGGAUCAGCGGAGAGGGCCAGCGAGGGAGAAACUCGUGGCUGGGGAGGAGGCCCUGAGAUCGAAGGGGCCAGACGUAGGCUCGGUGAUGGGCGGAAACUGAGGCCAGAGGGAGAACCCGAGGGCCAGGAGAGGGGGUCUUCUCGUCUGGGAGGGGCAGGAGACCCCUUCCCCUCCCCCUCCCCCUUCGGGUGCAGCCCCUCACCUAAGCGCCGCUGCCCUGCGCUCCCCACGUCCCGAGCGGUAACUAUGCAGAGCCCCCUGGAUGUCCUCUCGGAUCAGCUCCGCCUGCCAAUCACGGAGUCAAGCCCCGCCCACUGCCUUCAGACCACGCCUAGGCCAGACUCCACCCUGCCCACAAACCCUCCCCUCCAGAGCGGCUUCCCAGGCCACGCCCCUCCCUGUUUCCCAGACCCCGCCUUUGCCAGCAGGCUACGCCCCAUUUCUGUCCAGGUGGGGACACAGCCUCUCACCCCUAGCCGUAGGCCCUGGAAGAAGUGCACGUCGGGCUGUGGGCGCUCGGGCUCCUGACACACCAGCAGCAGCAGCAGCGAGCGGCUCCGGCCCGGCAGCGUCACCGCGUCGCAGCGCACUAUGGAGCCCAAGGGAUAGGACUCCAGCUCCUCCUGGAGGCAGGAUAGCAGGGUAAACUGAGGCACAGGCUGCUACUACUGCACCACGGCGACUGCAGUGCUCAGUGGGUUCAGGAGCGGGGCAGGGCGGCUCUCGUUUAAUAGGAGCGGCUGGCGGGCUGGAAACGGACGCUUGCCACCCUGCGCUCAGCCCUCGGAGUCCUGGGUCAGAGCCCAGCCACUCCUCCGCUCACUUCCUCACCUUGGAGGCCGGGUCGAGCAGCGUGACAUGGCCAGGGGACACGCGCAGCAGCAUCUCCUGGGUCCAGACGCGGCCCUGGCUGUCCAUGACAGCCAGCUUCCUGGAUGCAUCCUCCACUGUGUGCACGCCGUCCUCCUCGCCCAAGCAGAAGGUCACCAGGUGCUGGCACCGCAGAGACGGCAGUGAGUGGAUGGGGCCCUGGGACACAGACUUCCCACCUGAGGCCCACCGCACCUGCUCCAGGAAGCCGCCCCAUCACCUCUGGAGUCGGCCCCUCUGCCUGGGGCCCCUGUCCUGUUCUCCCUACCGAUGGUGGGCACCCGACUGGGGAACAAGGGUCUGGAUUACAACUACUUCCUCUCAGCGCCUCCUGAGACCCCAGGUCGCCUCUGGGCCGUGUCCCCCACAACCCCUGCCUCAGUGCAAUUUGUCUCUGUUCAGCACCAAGCUGAUACAGAAAAAGCAGACUCUCCCUGCAGGAGCAGACCAGACUCACAUUGACCUGGUACUGGGACACAUCGGCCAUCACCACUGUGGAGUAACGCUUCCUCUGCUCUGUGUGGGAAGGAGGAGGCGCACAGCAGUCAAGCCCAGCCUUCUCCCUCAGACCCAGGGUCCCAGGCCAGGUCUCCUCGCUCAGAGCUGGGGUCCGGGCCCAGCCUCCUCCCUCAGACCUGGAGUCCAGCCCAGGCCCUCCUCCGACACCGGACUACAGGCCCAGGCUGCCUCGCCUGGCCCUGGAUUCCAGGCCCCUCACUCACCAUAGAUAGACUUGGCACUUGGCUUUGGGGCAGCUUCUGGGCUGGUGAAAGAAAAGAGAGUGGGAGAGGUUGUGGGAAUUUGGGGCAGAACCCACCGAGUGCCAGGCAGCACCACAAGGCCUUCACGGUGAGGGUGCUGGGAAGCCAUGGAGGGCUUGGAGCAGGGAAGGCCAGGGCCAUCCUGGUAUUGGAGAAGAUAGGUAAGCUGUGGUCAUGAGUGAGGCCCCACUGGCAUUCAGACCUGGGUUCAAAUCCUCUGUGCUACUUCAUUGCCAUGAGCCUGGGCAGGAGACUCAUUGUCUCUGCCUCAGUCUCCCUUGCUGUAAGAUAGCAUCCGGCUGCUGGGGCUGUCGGGCACAUCAGUGUGAUGAUGCCUGUGCAGUCUCCUCGGCCUCCGUAAGUGUCACGACCCUUACUGGGAAGGCCUUAGCCCAAGCAGUUCCUCUGUAAGUGGGAACUGGCGCAGUAGCUUCCGGAGCACCUGCCACUGCCCCGGGUUCGCUUCCCUCCUCCUACCCUGCGCGCUCUUUCCAGUGAAUCUCCCUCUGUCUUCCGCUCUCCCUGGCUGCUCUUCAAGGGCGCUGUCUAUGAGAAUCCAUACAUGCCCUUGUCCAUGGAAAUAAGAGGAUCUCAGACCUCAGGGGAGGGGCGAGGAAGGCUGAGGAAACUGUAGCCAAAGCCCUGCUCUUCAUGCUGCUCCUGCCAUUUAGGGGUCACCACAAUUUGAUUACCUCUGAUCUGGGAAGCUCACUACCUACCAUGCAGCUCUUUAGAUCCAUCUCUCUCUGUCCUGCCUGCUCACCAUAGCCUGGAGUCCUCAUCCUUAACAGCCCUGAUUUUCUAGCAGAAGACCCGGCGUCUAUCCGGGCCCAGCCUCCUCCCUUAGACCCAGGAAGGCAGUAUCACUUACCCAGGGGUGACAGAGGUGGCAGCUGUGGUGCUCAUGGUGCCCUUCGUGGGAGCUCUUGACCACCUGGAGUCUCCGGAGACAGCAGAGAGGUCUUGCUCAGCUGCCCAGGAUGGUCUUGGACUUGGGAUUCUCCUGCCUCAGCCUCCCAGAGUAUUGGGAUUACAGAUGGGGAAACUGAGGCACGCUCAGGCUGAGUGAUAGGCCUGGUGUCGUGGGGACGUGGUUGAAGCCAUGCUAUAAUAUGCUGUAGACCUGAGUACUUCCAUGCGACCCGAGUCUCACUAGGGUGCUGAGUCAGUCGACCAGGAUGCGUCCAACUUUCGGUCCUCCUGCCUCAGACUCCCAGAGUGCCACGAGGCCCGCCCGGCUGUGAGGUUCACUUUGUCGCCCUGCCCUUUUUUGGCUGUGUGACCAUGGGCAAGUCACUUAGCCUCCCUGGGCUGCAGGACCCCAACUGUCCAGGGAGGACAGCAAGGCCGGGAGGGUAGCACAGGACACUGCAAAGGAGACAGGUCGGGGUGAGUGGCGGCAGGGACCUGGGCUUCUCCCUGGUGCAGUGAUGGGCACAGGGGUCACUGCUGGGGCCGGAGCUGCCAGGUCGGCACUGAGCCUUCGAGAAGGGGCGCUGAGCCCGCAGGGCCAGCCUGACAGGCAGGUGCCGGGAGGAGGCAUGUCCGAGGGGGUGACACGGGAGGGACCACAGCUCCUGCGGCUCAGCCCCGGCCAGCUCUGUCACUCUGGGUCUCUGUCACCUCAGGCCAAUAAUGGUUUCUGAGCUCUGUCCUGUCUAGAUCAGGGUUUGAGGGAGGAUGGGAGCCCCGAGGCCUCAGUCCAGGCACAGGAACACAAAGGCUGCAGCGGGGAGGUGCAUAGCCAGGGUCACUGCGAGGCUGGGCUGUGACACAGAGGCCUGACACACAGGCUCCGGUCUGGACGGGAAAGGAGUGACUCAGAGGCAUAGGGUCUGAGGGGGAGGCCGGGCCCGGGCCCUCUCCUGGGGUCCCACAGGAGGCUCCACAGGCUGAGCCCACGCACACAGCUCGCCUGCCUGGAGUAGCAGUGGGGGAGCUGAGAGCACUGGGGCGCUCCCCCGCCCAGCUGCCUGUGCCCCAGGAAGCCGUGUCUCUCCUAGACCACGCCUGCCCCUCCUGCUCAGCCCGCCCUGUCCUUGGUCCCCUCAAGCCCCUGGGUGCCUCCUGCAGCUUCCUCUCCUCCCUGGGUCACCAGGUACCACAUGCAGCUCUCCACAGGACUUGUUUAGGACUCCCCGCACGUCCUCCCUCCUCCAUCACCUCUGGCCGGGUGACCACACAGAGAAAGGGGGCAUUCACCAGCAGCGGGAGCCAUGGCCCGUGGUAGGGCAGGGAGGGGUCACAGACUGAUGUCUCCACCCGCACAGACAUGUAAUUUACUCAUUCCACGCGUAGUUCCUGCGCCUAAUUGUCACUUCCCAUUUGCCCUCAGAGGAGAGUCUUACCCAAGAAGUGGACGGAAUGGAGGUGGCAUGCAUGGCCAUUAUUCAUGAUGACACAUGCAGUAAUGGAGGCAGCACGGGACGUUGUGUAUCCCAGGGAAACACUGCAGCCUGGCUGAUGUGUGUGUAUGGGGCAGGCAAAGGAGCGGUCUCUGGUUAAACGAUAACUGGAUGGGGUUUUGUAGGAUGCAUAGAAGUUCUCUAAUGAAGACGAGGCCAGGAAUAACAUUCUGAGCAUUGAGAGUGGGAUAUGCGGUCCUGAGGUCUUGUCAUUGGCAAUACUUAAGCUCCUCCUGCGUGCCAGGCCUGCCGUAAGUGCUGGGGACGGAGGAGGCAGGUGAGGUCCUACUCCACGAUACUGUCAUAGGUGGGUGGAGGCACGUGUCAAUAGGGCUCCAGGUGUGGUGAGCACCCUGGAGGAAAGAUGCAGGAGAAGAGGGGGUGUGGGGAGUGGCUGCUGAUUGGACCUGGAUUUGGAGGCUGAGGCAGGAAUGUGGCUGGAUUUCAGGCUGGGAUUCCUGGGGCAGCAGGAGAGCCCUCACGGUGUGGCCCGCCUGGGCGGCCCAGCGGCAACAGUGACGAGUGACCUAGAGACAGCCACAGGGGCCGCCCAACCAAGCCUCAGGUCCCGAGCUGCCGGCAGCUUGGGGCGCCCCUGCUGCAGCGGGGGGCGGGGGGCCGGGGCGGGUCCGAGAGCCAGACCAGCCCGCCAGGGCAGGGUGAGAACCGGCCAGGCCGGAGUGGGGAGCGCGGGCGGGUGGGGCUGUGUGUUCUGGGCGGGACCGGCCUGGCCUUUCCCUCCCGAGUCAGGCCUGCGUCCAGGGCCCCGGAGGGCUGGCGGGGUCGCACGUGUCUGCGCACGCCUCCCAUCCCAGCUCUCUGGGAGGUUGAGGCAGGAGGACCCAAGGUUCAAGCCCAGCCGGGGCAACUUGGCGACUUAGCGGGACCCUAUCUCAAAAUAAAAAAUAAGACAGGUCUGGGGAUGCAGCUCAGCGAAGGCCCGGUUAUCCCCGCCCCAAAAGCCGGGGAGGUAGAGCUCAGUCGACGACGAAACAGAGGACAGAAAGCACGACUGCAUCACCAAGGCGGCACCAAGGGACAAGGACGGCUGUGCGGUCAGAGCUCUGCCUCAGGGUCUGCUCGACACCCCAGCCCCCGAUGCCUCAGUUUCCCCAGCCUACACAUUCACUACCUCAUUCUUUCCUCCAAUCAGUGUUUACUGAGCAUGUGCUCCGGCCAGGCUGGCGGGGACCCAGGCCAAGCACAGGCGCAGCGCUUGGGAGCACGACCUCCAGCCUGCUCCAGGACUCGCGCGGACCACAGGGUCAGGAACGGCGCCGCCACGGCCACGAUCGCGCACGCGCAGUGCUUCGGGCGGCGCCCCACGCUUCGGGGCAGGGUCCGCAGCAUGGGGCCUUGUGCCUGCCCCUCCUUCCCUUCCUCCCACCAGGCUGUACCUGUGUGGCAGGGGACAGGCGCACUGACUAAACAGAACAAAGCACCUGCUCCAGGCACUGCGGCCAGGUGUCAGAUGAUUCCAACCUCUCGUGGCUUCAAGCGUUUGUUUGAGCCGUGGAUCUGCUGUGGAUGCCACUGAGACUCCGUGUGACAGACAGGGAUCCAAGCACGGAGGGCGGCAGCGGCCGAGCACAGCACACAGGCAGCAGGAGCAGAGCUGGGCCCUGGGUAGGAGCCGGGCCGUGGGCGCGGCCGCGGGCGUCACCUCAGUGCAUCGGGCUCCUUCAUGACGCUGGGCAGGCGGGAGCCUGUGACUCGGUGCAUUGUUCUCUGUAAUCACCUCAACAGUUGGCAGGCUCUGCUUCUCGUGGUUAGGCCUGGUCAUGAGUUACUUCCUGUCCUCCUUCCAUAUUCUACAACAUGGCUGCAAAUGAUGGCCUGCUGCUUGUUAAUAAAGUUUUAUUGGAACACAGCUGUGUUCACUUGCAUG